rnacentral:lncRNA from 1 species
GGGGACCAGUAAAAGAUGUCUUGGCUCUGUGUAUGCCUAAAGAUGCAAAACCACAACACUUCUGAUCAUCUUUAACAGCUUCAUUGAAGAAAGAUUGUGCUAAGAAGAGGCUGAUAUGACUCUCCAACUGUGUUUACUUAAAGUUGGCUUUAAAGAGAGGUUCUGAUUACUUCUCCACCCAUCAACUACCACUCGCCCACCUCUACCCUCAACCCUUGAGAAGUACCAUACAAUAGCCACAUCAGAAGCCAGGGAAUAAUAGUGGGCAGAAAGUUUUGCAAAUAUUAACUUUCUGAUCUAACAAACCCAUCUGUAUCUCCUUCUCCUAUAAACAUUCUGUUUGGCAGUACUGCUAAGAUCUAUUUCUCCUCUUUCAUUUUCUAAUUAACUUACAAUGUGUUUUCUCUAAAUUCACAAUGAGCUUGUAAUAAAAGUAAUUUGCUUCACCAGGUGGUAUUUCUCACAUUCCAGAUGUUAAUAUAGGUCUUAAACCAUGGUCAGCUUUAAGA